rnacentral:rRNA from 1 species
UGGGCAACCUGCCCCUCUCUCUGGGAUAACCCCGGGAAACCGGAGCUAAUACCGGAUACUCCGGCUGGAUCGCAUGGUCCGGCCGGGAAAGGUCCGCCGGAGAGGGAUGGGCCCGCGGCCUAUCAGCUUGUUGGUGGGGUCAUGGCUCACCAAGGCGACGACGGGUAGCUGGUCUGAGAGGAUGGCCAGCCACAUUGGGACUGAGACACGGCCCAGACUCCUACGGGAGGCA